ACAGGCCGUUCCUGGGCAGCGGUCACUGUGACCGCAGGAUCACCACGCAUGCGCGCGGCCGCCCAAAGGCACACACCCUCACAGGAGUGGACACGGACCGUCACUCCCUAACGGGGACACGCUCACAUGGACACAAAGCAGGCACCCCAAUGAGCACCCCCGGUCCCACGGGCCAGACCCCAGGACCCAGGUGCACAAAUGACCUCUCACCUCCGUGAGUUGCCAAUCAGGGAGGCCACAGGUAGGGACAGGGACUUGCCCUGAGCCCCUGCAGGGAGCCCUGUGGAAGCCCUAGGGGUUCUGACAAGUCUCGAGGAGGGGCCAUGGGUCCACUGUGGAGAAGGGGAAACGGGACCAGAGAAGGGAGUUCAGUUUCUCAAGAACACACAGCAAGGGAUACAGAAAGGAGGCUCUGAAGCCCGACCCUGAGCCCAGGGAGGCCCCGUGGUGACUCCUUCCUCCUCAGGCCACCCAGAGGACGGCUCAGGGGCAACCAGGGGACAGGGACCGUCCGGAGGGUCAGCCGAGCCAAAAGACUGGGAAGCACAGUCUGGGAAAGGGGCCUGCACGGGACUCCUGGGUGACCUGGCCCUGCUGGUCACAGGAGCCGCUGCGGAGAGGACACUGCGCACAGAGGAGAGGACCCCUGCACCGGAAGUCGCCAGGACAGGGCCUGCCACCCCUGGGCUCCAUCUCAAAGAAAGCCACGAAGGAAAUCAGAGAGCAGAGCCCACAGGCAUCGGGGAGAACCCUGUUCCCAGAAAAGGGACCAGCGGAUGCCGUGCAAAGGCCCUGGGGCCGUGUAAGGAACAGCAAGGAGACAGAGGAACAGAGAGGAUGAAGUCUGAGAGGUGGAGGAGCUGGGAGCAGAUGGGGUGGCUUUUGUGACCACCAUAAGGGGCUUUGGCUUGUCCUUUGAGGGAGCCCAGGGUGGCUGAGGCCUGAUUUUAACAGGGUCCUCAGGCUGUCGCUGGGGAAGGGGCUGCAGAGGGGCACAGCGGGGACCCGGGUGGCAGAGGAGCUGAUGGGACGCUGGAUGGACCUUGAAGGUCAAGUCCAGCAGCCAGAGGAGCGAAGUCCUGGUGGCGUGUCCCCUGACCAGGCCCAGAGAGUUAGAGAGGGGGUCCUAGGAGGGAGGGGGACGUCACUUUGGGCACCCAGCCUGGACCCCAAUGCAGAUGCACAUGGGGGAGGGGACACCUGGUGACCUCCAGGCCGGGUUGGGGGGCUGCUGCCCCAGGGGUCUGGGGCUUGGGGACCUCAGAGGGCGGCCCCCGGCCCCUCCCCCCUCCCGGGCGCGUCCUCCCCUCCCCCUCGCCACCUGCGGGGUCGCUGGGACUCGGGGCCUUUGUCCCACGUGUCGCCCCCGAGCAAACACAGCUGAGCGGGCCGUGUCGCCGUCGCCCCGCUCCGGGCGGCGACAGUCCUUUGUCAUGCAGAUCGCCCGCUGGCCGCCCGCCCCCACCCGCAGCUGAUCUGGG
rnacentral:lncRNA from 1 species